rnacentral:rRNA from 1 species
CGCUGGCGGCGUGCCUAAUACAUGCAAGUCGAACGGUCUUUUCUAUGGAAGCUUGCUUCCGCUGAGAAGAUAGUGGCGAACGGGUGAGUAACACGUGGGUAACCUGCCCAUAAGAGGGGGAUAACAUCCGGAAACGGGUGCUAAUACCGCAUAGUUUUCUUGAUCGCAUGAUCGGGAAAGGAAAGACGGCCUUUGUGCUGUCGCUUAUGGAUGGACCCGCGGCGUAUUAGUUAGUUGGUGAGGUAACGGCUCACCAAGACGAUGAUACGUAGCCGACCUGAGAGGGUGAUCGGCCACAUUGGGACUGAGACACGGCCCAAACUCCUACGGGAGGCAGCAGUAGGGAAUCUUCCGCAAUGGACGAAAGUCUGACGGAGCAACGCCGCGUGAGUGAAGAAGGUUUUUCCGGAUCGUAAAACUCUGUUGUCAGAGAAGAACAAGUUGGAGAGUAACUGCUCCAGCCUUGACGGUAUCUGACCAGAAAGCCACGGCUAACUACGUGCCAGCAGCUGC